GUUAUCCCAACUGGCAACAGAUAAUGACAUGAUCCCGAAAUCUACCGACUCGAAGUUACCGCUCGAUAAUCGCAAUGCAAGACUCAAAAAUCUCCCAACUCGAAGUAUACGAUCUUUAUCCUAUUCUGGUCAAGUAGGGACAAAUUUAUGUCGCAUUUGGAGGAUUGUCGCAACAAAUGCAGGUUGCGACAUUGUCAUUAUUGUUGCGCGAUGGUUUAAAUUUGAUUCAGUGCUUAUUACCAAACGUAGAACUAACUCCAAUCUCAAAAGUUAUAAAACUGCAGUGUACGUUGAAAAGGAUAUUUCGGAUCACAUCAAAUCUCCCAUUUAUUGCUUACCUAAUGCGCAUCUGUUCAAUACGCCAGUAAAAUUUAAUUGGAUAUUUUUUUCUUUUCAAAAUUUAUUACGAAAAAAAAACGGAAUUACAAUUUUAAACGACUCAAUAAAUUUGUGGUUGCAGUUUUUUUAUACAAGGUGAAUGAAUGCGAUUACUUUCUCUCUGUCAAUGUGUAAACAUGGGUUUUCUCUGCUCUGUCUAUAGGUAGUCCUAACACGCGUAGCAUUCCGAAGGUACGUGGCAUGGUUUCCGCAAUACCUUUU